CGGCACUCAAGUGGUCGUCGCUUUUAUUGGGCCUAAAACGUCCGUAGCCGGUUUGGUAAACCCGUGGGUAAAUCAACCAGCUUAACUGGUUGAAUUCUGCGGAGACUGCCAAACUUGGAACCGGGAGAGGUGUGAGGAACUCUUGGGGUAGGGGUAAAAUUUGUUUAUCCCAGGGGGACCACCUGUUGCGAAGGCGUCACACUAGAACGGAUUCGACGGUCAGGGACGAAGCCUAGGGGCACGAACCGGAUUAGAUACCCGGGUAGUCCUAGGUGUAAACGCUGUGGACUUGGUGUCGGGAGUCCCUAGAGGGCCCCCGGUGCCGCAGCGAAGGUGUUAAGUCCACUGCCUGGGGAGUACGGUCGCAAGGCUGAAACUUAAAGGAAUUGGCGGGGGAGCACUGCAACGGGAGGAGCGUGCGGUUUAAUUGGAUUCAACGCCGGAAAACUCACCAGAGCCGACUGUCAGAUGAAGGCCAGCGUAAUGAGCUUGCUGGAUUGUCAGAGAGGUGGUGCAUGGCCGUCGUCAGUUCGUACCGUAAGGCGUUCUGUUAAGUCAGAUAACGAACGAGACCCUCAUCCUCAUUUGCUAACCCAGUCGCAAGAUUGGGUGCACUAUGGGGAGACCGCUUGAUGUUAAAUCAGAGGAAGGUGAGGGCAACGGUAGGUCAGUAUGCCCCGAAUGCUCUGGGCUACACGCGCGCUACAAAGGACGGGACAAUGGGAGGCCACGCCGAGAGGCGGAGCUAUCCCGAAACCCGUUCAUAGUUCGGAUUGAGGGCUGUAACUCGCCCUCAUGAAGCUGGAUUCCGUAGUAAUCGUGUUUCAAAAUAGCACGGUGAAUAUGCCCCUGCUCCUU
rnacentral:rRNA from 1 species